GUAGGUGGCAAGCGUUGUCCGGAAUUAUUGGGCGUAAAGCGCGCGCAGGCGGUUCUUUAAGUCUGAUGUGAAAGCCCACGGGCUCAACCGUGGAGGGUCAUUGGAAACUGGAGAACUUGAGUACAGAAGAGGAAAGCGGAAUUCCACGUGUAGCGGUGAAAUGCGUAGAGAUGUGGAGGAACACCAGUGGCGAAGGCGGCUUUCUGGUCGGUAACUGACGCUGAGGCGCGAAAGCGUGGGGAGCAAACAGGAUUAGAUACCCUGGUAGUCCACGCCGUAAACGAUGAGUGCUAAGUGUUAGGGGGUUUCCGCCCCUUAGUGCUGCAGCUAACGCAUUAAGCACUCCGCCUGGGGAGUACGGCCGCAAAGGCUG
rnacentral:rRNA from 1 species